CAGGGCUUUGCACCAUAAUCAGCCCCAGCAGGACUAGAGAACAGACACUCAGUGGAAUCUCAAAUUCCCUCCAUAUCUGAAAGCAUUCCUCAACUUUCUGGCUAACAUAUCAACAAUCAAGGUUUCUAUCAUCUUAGAUAAGUCAGACACAAUUGAUGAAUAGUCUUCGUUCAGGGGAUAUCAAGAAAAAGGGAUUUGAUCAGG
rnacentral:misc_RNA from 1 species